rnacentral:misc_RNA from 1 species
GUGGCUGGCUUGCCUCUUCAUUUCAAUUUCCUUCGUGUCUCUCACUUAUGUGGUGGUGGGUCAGAAGUCAAGGUGGCUUGCUAUUUAUGCAACUGUAAUCGGUGGUUCAAUUAUGCUUACUACAAUUGGAUCCAUGUGUUAUUGCGUGAUUUUGCAUAGAAUGGAGGAGUCAAGAUUUAGAAGUAUAAGGAGGGAAAGUCGAUCCCGGUCAUACUCGAUGUCUAUGGUAUCAGAACAGGAGAUUUUGGACAGUGAAUAUAAGAGGAUGUAUGCACUGUAAGGACAUCAGGAUGGAGAGAAAUGGAUCGACUAGCUGACCUAUUAUUCUCGUUUAUAUUAUGAAAAUGGCUAUAUGAUGCUAAUGAAACUUUCUUGCAAGUUGAGGUAUUGCAUCACUGGAAUAAUAUAAAGAGGUCUUGCAUCUUCCUUGCCUUUGCUUUACUUCUGCAAGAAAGCUC